CACACCCAACUCCUCCGCCAAAAUGUCCUCCUCCAAAGUAUCCACCCAAACAUCCUCCCAUUGUGAGGCCUCCGUUUCACCCUAAACCACCGAAACAUCCUCCCCAUCCUCCAAAGCCGCCCAAGCCUCCUGUCGUAAAGCCUCCUUAUGUGCCCAAACCUCCAGUUGUAAAGCCUCCGCCUCAUAUACCGAAGCCUCCCUAUGUACCCAAACCUCCUGUUGUAAAGCCUCCGCCUCAUGCACCGAAGCCUCCCUAUGUACCCAAACCUCCUGUAGUAAAGCCUCCGCCUUACACCCCGAAGCCUCCCUAUGUACCCAAACCUCCAGUUGUAAAGCCUCCACCCUAUACACCAAAACCUCCAGUUGUAAAGCCUCCACCUUAUCCACCAAAACCUCCAGUUGUAAAACCACCCUACGUGCCGGUGCCCACGCCACCAUAUGUACCCAAGCCCCCACCUUAUGUACCGAAACCCCCCAUCGUGCCUGUACCUAAGCCACCUUAUGUACCCAAACCGCCCGUCGUCAAACCCCCACCUUAUUAUCCAAUACCGCCAGUCAUAUCACCGCCAAUUCUGCCUCCAAAGCCUCCUGUAUAUCCGAGUCCUCCGAUUGUGAAGCCACCAACACCACCAGUUCUGCCUCCAACGCCUCCUGUCUAUCCGAGUCCUCCGAUUGUGAAGCCACCAACACCGCCAAUCCUGCCUCCAAAGCCUCCUGUCUAUCCGAGUCCUCCGAUUGUGAAGCCACCGACACCGCCAAUCCUGCCUCCAACCCCUCCUAUAUAUCCAAGUCCUCCUAUUGUGAAGCCACCUCCCAUCGAGAAACCAUGUCCUCCACCACCCCCACCCUUGCCAUAUCCACCACCUCCGGCGCAGCAAACAUGCUCCAUUGACACUUUGAAACUGGGUGCAUGUGUGGACGUGUUAGGUGGC
rnacentral:lncRNA from 1 species